rnacentral:rRNA from 1 species
AUUGAACGCUGGCGGCAUGCCUUACACAUGCAAGUCGAACGGUAACAGGUCUUCGGAUGCUGACGAGUGGCGAACGGGUGAGUAAUACAUCGGAACGUGCCUAGUAGUGGGGGAUAACUACUCGAAGGAGUGGCUAAUACCGCAUGAGAGCUACGGAUGAAAGCAGGGGAUCGCAAGACCUUGUGCUAUCAGAGCGGCCGAUGGCAGAUUAGGUAGUUGGUGGGAUAAAAGCUUACCAAGCCGACGAUCUGUAGCUGGUCUGAGAGGACGAUCAGCCACACUGGGACUGAGACACGGCCCAGACUCCUACGGGAGGCAGCAGUGGGGAAUUUUGGACAAUGGGCGAAAGCCUGAUCCAGCAAUGCCGCGUGCAGGAUGAAGGCCUUCGGGUUGUAAACUGCUUUUGUACGGAACGAAAAGCCCCGGGUUAUUACCCUGGGGUCAUGACGGUACCGUAAGAAUAAGCACCGGCUAACUACGUGCCAGCCGCCGCCGUAA